rnacentral:lncRNA from 1 species
CAUUGAACCAAAGAGUACAUCUUACCUGGCCAGUUGGUACUAUCACAGGGUUCCAAGUACCUGAACUCAGGAUGACAGCAAUGGACAUUUGAGAUUUUUUUUUUUUUUAAUUUAAGCAAAGUUUCACUGUGUUGCUACUGGCCUUGAGCUCAUGAUUCUCCUGCUUCUGGUUGCUGAGUGCUUCGAUUGCAGGUAUGUAUCUCUAUUAUGUGUGCCCUGAACUAUAUUUUAUAAAAUGCUG